rnacentral:ncRNA from 1 species
CUUGUACACACCGCCCGUCACACCAUGGGAGUGGGUUCUGCCAGAAGUAGGUAGCCUAACCGCAAGGAGGGCGCUUACCACGGCAGGGUUCAUGACUGGGGUGAAGUCGUAACAAGGUAGCCGUAGGGGAACCUGCGGCUGGAUCACCUCCUUU